UUUACUGGUCCAGCUCACUCUACAUCAAAUUGGGCUGGAUGUGGCCCAAACUGACCCUUUAGGAGGAGGAUCUGUUCCCACCCUCUCUUCAAGCUGCCGGGGAAGCUGCUUAUCACGAGUAUCUUGGUUUACAUUGCCCGCGUUAAACCCAUUUUUAAGCAAAGACGUUAGAUCCAAGGAUUUCUCCAAAGGACACAUGAUGUUCCGAAAUUUUUCCUCGCUAAUCCAACAGAAGAUGGUUUCGAUCAGACGGAUGUAGGCACAUCGAGGACUGAUUCCUAGAAGGGAAUUUACACCUGGGAACCAACACGAGAAAGAAAUGAAACAGUCCGAGUGCAGGAGUUGUCACUGCAUGGGAGAUACGAGAGGAGGCCGGUGCAGUCAGAGCCAUAUCAGAGGGCCGGGAGACUGCACCGGAGAGUAGGCCACAGUGUAAACGGCAGUUGAAGUUGAGUGAAAAUCUGGUUAAAGAACAGCAGAAUGAAGAGAAGAAUCAGGAGACUGUGACUACCUGUUCUGAACUGGUGAGGAAGAAGAACUAAAAGACAAUCAUCUGCAACCUUUGGACACCUAUGAGCAGGUGGUAAGAGACAGGGUAAUACACAAACCCAGCUAAAGGAAGACCCAGAGCUCAUGGUGUUUUUCUCUUGUACCAAAACAGAUUUUAUUAUGUUUGCCAUUGAGAAAACCUUUUGGAAUGCUUCUCUUAACUUCAGCUUCAAGUCAUGUGGUUUCACUGCAAAGCCAUUAAUGCUCUCUCUGCCUCAGGCCAUGUCCUUUGAACACAAGGCCAUGUGAGCAAGCAUGAAGUUUUAUCCAUUUUCAUUUGAAACAAGCAAAACAAAACAAAAUAUAUGUUUUGAGUUUUCUGUUAAUAUCUUUUUAAAAAUAUGUAUAUUGGAUUUUGAUGUUAUUUUCUUUAAGUUGCUGUUUAUCAUGAUGUUAAUGUGUAUGCAUUCAUAAAAAAAUGUCCCGCUUAAUGCUAAUAACUUCAGUUUAGUAGUCAGUACCUCAGUAUACUGAAGCUGAAUAUAAAACCAAAUGAAUAUGAGUCUAAACAAUCAUCUUUGCAUAACGUUUGAUGUUUGCCUCUUUGCUAUUUCUCCUCUAAUCAGCAAAAUCAACAGAAGUGCAGUUAUAUUCCUGGAUUUCCUUUAUGUACUCGUUUAAGGAUGAUGAAUAUGAGGACUAUGAGGAAACUGUUGUUGAUUAAACAUUAAAAAGAUUAUCAUUACCACUGA